GGGCCCGCACAAGCGGUGGAGUAUGUGGUUUAAUUCGACGCAACGCGAAGAACCUUACCAGGUCUUGACAUUGAUGGACAGAACUAGAGAUAGUUCCUCUUCUUCGGAAGCCAGAAAACAGGUGGUGCACGGUUGUCGUCAGCUCGUGUCGUGAGAUGUUGGGUUAAGUCCCGCAACGAGCGCAACCCCUAUCUUAUGUUGCCAGCACGUAAUGGUGGGAACUCAUGAGAGACUGCCGCAGACAAUGCGGAGGAAGGCGGGGAUGACGUCAAAUCAUCAUGCCCCUUAUGACCUGGGCUACACACGUACUACAAUGGGCUUUAAUAAAGGGAAGCGAAGUCGCGAGGCGGAGCAAACCCCAGAAACAAGCUCUCAGUUCGGAUCGUAGGCUGCAACUCGCCUACGUGAAGUCGGAAUCGCUAGUAAUCGCAGGUCAGCAUACUGCGGUGAAUACGUUCCCGGGCCUU
rnacentral:rRNA from 1 species